UAGGUGAAAUAUAUUCAGUGGAUAAAGAAAAAUGACAUAUUUUAUAAUAAUUUUCUGUACAUUUUCUUCCACAGAACAAUGACCUUGCUUUCACUAAAGGCUGAUUAUGUGUUUGUUUUAUAAAUCUAGGAGACCAGUUGCAUUGAAAUACCUAUCUCUAAUCCAAAAGACAAAAUUAUUCACAUAGAUGUGAUAUUAACAAAUCCUGCCCUGAGUGGACUCCAGAAACUUGUACUGAAUCCACUGGAAACUACUAAGUACAUUGUGUGGUAUUCUCCGGCAACUACAGGCUAUAAUGAAGAAAGCAUUAUUUUUCAGCCUGAAAUGGGUGAAGAGUUCUGGUGUUUACUGAAAUUAACCACUGAACUUCCAAAAAGAAAGGAAAUACCGGAAAUAUACUGUGACCUUGGAAAGCAUGUCAUUCAGACCAUUCCCUUAUAUAAUCCUACACAUGAAACUUUGGAAUUGCAAGUAACAAACAGUAAUCCUGGAAAUUUUGUCCUGGAAAUUAACAGAACAUUACCACUGAUUAUACUUCCUCACUCCACCAAAGAGGUAACAGUUUACUUUUAUCCUUCUGCACUUGGAAGAGCUGGUCAUGAAACUUGUAUCAACUUCUUCUGUGCUCAGUUUGAAGAAUGGAAAUUCUACCUCCUUGGAGUAGGACUAUUUCCCCAGCCUAUAGAAAUAGCAGAAAUGACCACAUGCAUUGGUCAUCAGUCAUCCAUCAUUAUACCUUUCAAAAAUCCCACCAAGGAAGAUGUGUCUAUCAACAUCAUUCUAACAAAUGAAGAACAGCCUAGACACCUUGUCAGUGACAACUGCUGGGAUAGCUUCAUAAAUGAGAAUUCUGCCUUCCAACUUUGUUCUCUGUGUCAUAGACAAGGAAUCAUGUUGCCUCCUGAAGGAAAUGUAGAUAUCCCAGUGUUAUUUGUACCCCGAAAUAUGACAUUGUGCAAAACAUUGGUCAUUGUUCAAGUGAUGAGAGCAAAUGGGGAAAAUUGGACUGUUGACAAUUUUGAUGAAUUAGAUACAGAAUUUAAAAGAAUUAUGGGAAUAGACAAAGAUGAAAUCCGAGGAAUACACUGGAUAUAUCCUAUUAUUGGACUCCCACAGGCACCACUCCCUAAAAUUCCUCCAACUGUCAUACAAUGUAAGUCUAAGAAGAAGGUAGAAAUGACGCUGGAAAUCAAAUUGAUUGGUCAUUUUUUUGGACAAGAUUCUACACCGGAAUCAACACAAUUUUUAGUGAUUCCAAAAAGAAGUUCAUAUUGUAAUGUUUCUGAAGAUUACACUGUAGUUCCCAAAAUACGUGUAUUCAAGUAUGAAAUAGAAUUUGAAUCUGAAAUCAUGAAGUCUAACUUGGAAUCCACUGUGGAUUUAUAUUUGAGCACACAAUGUUAUGAUAUCCAAAAUGAGAUGAUAUCAUUGGUCUUCAAGCUAGUAUUUACACCACAGAGACCAUUCAGGACUAAUGCUGCAUUGAAAAUAGAGAGCAUAAAAGAUGGAAUCUGGAAGUUUCCCUUGAUCUUGAUGGCUACAGAUCCUGAUAUGGAGGAAAUUAUUAACAUACGAGGAGUUGGUUUACAAAAGGAAUCUACUAUGAACUUUAGGCUGACAAGUCCCACAAGGUACUUUAUCAAACAAAAGUAUAUAACUAGCUUUAUGAGUGUGAUUUAUGCUGAAUUCAAACAUUUAAAAUAGAAAACUCUGCAGGUCAUCUUUUAUUA
rnacentral:lncRNA from 1 species